UACGGAGGGUGCAAACGUUGCUCGGAAUCAUUGGGCGUAAAGCGUGUGUAGGCGGUCUGAUAAGUCGGGUGUGAAAGCCCCGGGCUCAACCCGGGAAGUGCAUUCGAAACUGCCAGACUUGAGUACGAGAGAGGGUCGCGGAAUUCCCGGUGUAGAGGUGAAAUUCGCAGAUAUCGGGAGGAACACCAGUGGCGAAGGCGGCGACCUGGAUCGAGUACUGACGCUGAGGUGCGAAAGCGUGGGGGAGCAAACAGG
rnacentral:rRNA from 1 species